rnacentral:piRNA from 1 species
CACGAUGACCAAUGGUUCCCGAGGGGGAAU